rnacentral:pre_miRNA from 1 species
AGUGGGAUAGCUGGGUCAAAUGGUGGUUCCAUUCCAAGUUUUCUGAGGAAUCUCCAUACUGUUUUCCACAGUGGUUGUACUAUUUUGCAGUCCCACCAACAAU